GGUUGCCUACGGGGGGCAGCAGUGAGGAAUAUUGGUCAAUGGCCGGAAGGCUGAACCAGCCAGGGCGCGUGAGGGAAUAAGGCCCUAUGGGUCGUAAACCUCUUUUGUCAGGGAGCAAAGGCGUCCACGUGUGGACGAGGGGAGAGUACCUGAAGAAAAAGCUUCGGCUAACUCCGUGCCAGCAGCCGCGGUAAUACGGAGGAUGCGAGCGUUAUCCGGAUUUAUUGGGUGUAAAGGGUGCGUAGGCGGAGGGUCAAGUCAGCGGUAAAAUUUCGGGGCUCAACCCCGUCGUGCCGUUGAA
rnacentral:rRNA from 1 species